CAAAAAUAUCGGCUGUGUUUUUGUCUCUUUCUCACUCUCUGCCUACUCAUACAGUGUUGUAAACCAUAGUUAUGUGUCUGGCCUUUUAAACAGGCUCCAAACGCAUCCCAUGCCUCUGAGGUGAUUUGACUGGCAUGUCAUUUGCAUUCUCUUUGACCAGUGAAGUACUGAGGAGAAGACGGUUAAAGUGCUGCUCUGAUGGCAUUUGGAGUCUCUGGGUGUGUUUUGCACAAAGUCAUUUGAAAGACUUCACCUGUAACCUGUGUGUGUUCACAGGUUAAAAUGACCUCGCCUCAAAAAUACCUGAGAGUUCUGUGACACAGAGCAGCAGCUGGGAUUCUUCAUAGAGUCAGCUGCACUGGAAACUUUAUUUCAUGCCAUGAACGGCGCUUCAUCAUUGUAAUGUUAAGGUUAUAGUGACUGUGUUUAAUGGUAAAAUAUUCUAUUUACCAUAAAAGUGGCCCUUAUUACUUGUUCAUUAUAGUCUGACCCUUUCGAUAGGCCAAAAUUUAAGCCAUUAUUUGUCUAAAAACUUCUAUUAAAAUCUCAUUUGUGUUUGUGGACUUUCAGAUACGGUGCAUGGAGACACAUCAUGCCGUUUUUGAUGUAAAUGAUUACAAGGACAAUUGAGUCUCAUGUCAUUUAUGACCAACAAUUCGAUAUGUUAAUCUGAGCAAAUAAUUACUUAUUUUUUCCUCCCUCACAUAAAGGUUUAUCAAGACCUUGGUAUUUUUUCAUGUUUACAGGGUUUUUAUGAAACAUUUUUUGUUCUAUCUGUCAUUUUUGGAUAAACACUAUUUUAUGUUCCACAGAAGAAAGACAGACAUACAGGUUUAGAAUGAUGUGAGGGUGAGUAAAAGUUUUAGCUAUUUUUUAAAAUUUUACCUCUUUCAAUGCAGAAGCUUCAAAGUUCGACAGAGUCUAAACAUUGCAAUGAUAAAUUUAAGCUCACUUUAAUGCACUGAAAAUGCAGUUUGAAAGGACUUUUAAAGGUGGCCAGAGAUAUCCUAACCUUAAAGGCAGGUCUUUCUUGAUUACUAUGACCUUACAACUUCCCACCACCCCACAACCAGAAACACAGCAGCACUUUUCCUGUGAUAGAUGAGCC
rnacentral:lncRNA from 1 species